rnacentral:rRNA from 1 species
AUUCCAGCUCCAAUAGCGUAUAUUAAAGUUGUUGCGGUUAAAAAGCUCGUAGUUGGAUUUCUGCCGAGGAUGACCGGUCCGCCCUGUGGGUGUGCAUCUGGCUCAGCCUUGGCAUCUUCCUGAAGAACGUAGCUGCACUUGACUGUGUGGUGCGGUAUUUAGGACAUUUACUUUGAGGAAAUUAGAGUGUUUCAAGCAAGCGCACGCUUUGAAUACAUUAGCAUGGAAUAAUAAGAUAGGACCUCGGUUCUAUUUUGUUGGUUUCUAGAGCUGAGGUAAUGAUUAAUAGGGAUAGUCGGGGGCAUUCGUAUUCAAACGACAGAGGUGAAAUUCUUGGACCGUUUGAAGACGAACUAAGGCGAAAGUAUUUGCCAAGAAUGUUUUCAUUA